GAAGAAUGUAGGGAGACCUCCAGUGGACCGCACUCCUUCUAGCGAGCCGCGGAAACCAUAGAGAUCAGGGCUCAGCCGGAGGGCCGGCCCACUGCUGUCACGUGGCCUCCAUCCGUGCGCUUUAUUGGCUGGUGCUGGCUUUACGGGGUUGAAUUUUGGACGCUGCCUGCCAUUCGUGGGACCGAGUUUCAGGCAGCUGGAAUAAAGAGAGACAUCGGGGGAAAGCCGCGAGAAGGCCAGCGUCCCUGGCUGGGAGCAGAGCUAGCCGAGUAGGGCGCCCGGCUGUCAAACUGGCCGGCGCAGUGCACGCUGGGCCGCCCCGGAGCGGUCGCAGAGCCCGUCGGGAGUCGUAGUCCGGGACGGGCCCGCGGCAUUGUCCGCGACGCAGCUCGGGAUCCGGGUCGGGGUGUCGGCCGGGUUGCUGCCGGGCACCGUCGAGCGUUAGCCACCCAGCAUUGAGCUGCCAGCGGCUGUUCUCCCUAAGCACCCUCGCUCACGUCGCCUCGCCUCGCCUCGCCUGACCGGCCGCAGCCUUGGAUACCAGCCUUAAAUCGAGCCGACUACGGCCCAGCCCCGCCCGCGGCGAGGUGCGCGGGGUUCGGUGCCAGCCGCUCGCCCCUGGCGGGGCCAGCCUCUUGAUGCACCGGGGACGGGCGCCCCCAUCCGACCCCCAGCUAGAGUUGGCUUCAGCGGAAUACCUACUGUGCGGGAUUAUUCAACAAGCCGAUUGAUCACAUUCUUCAGCUCUAGCAGUGCAAAGGCUUCACUGAAAAAGAACAUUACAAAUUUUUUUUGAAAGAAAUUUGGGGGAAUCCACUGAAGACCUACAUUUCCCGGAAGGUUAACAGCCCCCUUCUCAGUUUUCCUGCUGCUCCUAUCAGUGACAAAUCAGCGUAUUAGAACAUGCAUGCUGGCUGAUCAUUCUGAUCAAGUCAACAAGCUUCACAACUUACUCAAUGAGGUCGUCCGUGAGAACUUCACUGUUUUACGGGGACAGGAGCUACUUCUUUGCUGAACUGCAUCACGGUUUCAACUGCUGAGGUUUUCUUCAAGCUUUUGCAUUGUUUGGAAUGUGAAGGGCAUGGCCGAGACACACUUUGAGGUUCCCACUGCAUUGUUACACCUCCCCCCUCACUUCAGGGCCAGGUAACACCAAGAAGGACGCCAUGAGAGCGAAGGCCGUUGGGUCACCGCCCUUUGCUCUCGCGCUGCGCGUCUCCCUGCCAUCAACCGCCGCAACUGGCGCUGGGAGCGGUUGAGGGCGGCCGGCCUCGCGCUGGAACCUCGCCCGCCUCAAGGCUCCUGCGGCGGCACACGGGGCAGGCCAGGACCCGCCCUAGGAGGGCCCCGCUGGAGAUGUGGAAAUGGAGGGACGCGGCACCUGGGCGCUUCCUGGGGCCAGACAACGCCCCCUCAUUGGAACCUCCAUGACCCUGCCUCUGAGAAACCAGCGCGUCCGCAACGAUCACUCCUAAUUUUCGGUAAUACAAACCUGCAGUCCAUGCACUUAGGUAACACCCUUGCUGAAAGGUUUACCUUUGGAGGGUUUAUCCUAAAGCAAAGUAUCCUCAAAUUGCAUGUCUUGCAUUCCCUUUGGAUGGCAUUGAUUUCAUUCCUGCUCAUGCCUUUCAAAAAAUAGUAUGCCCUGUUUUCCUACUCAGUCUGGAGGUUCCAUUAAAGAGUAUUUCUGGCAAAGAUUUUUAGACCUGAAAACACACUCCAAAAUAUAUUUUCUUCUGACUCCAUUCCCAGAGUUUUUCCUACCGCAUUCAAAUGAUUUCUAGAAAUGUUUUUGUUGUAGCCUUGAUCAAUUUCAGUCGAUAAAGCAGCAGAUAGUAAGGGAACAAUUCCACGCUCCCCACCCCUGACUCUGCAACACAGUGCAGAAUUCCAGUUGGCAAUAAAAAACUAGUAGAGAAGGAACUCACUGACUUCAGUUUGUAAUACCGUCAGAAGAAACUUUAAUCGUCACAUCCUUUCUGCUCAUUUGCAGGAUUCCUAUCAUCUGUCUCCACGUGAUAACACUGAAGAGCCUUCACAUUGAUGCAGGCCCAGGGCCUCAAGUGCAGAGACUGAGAGCUCUGCAGGACACAGCAUGGAGCCGCCAUUCCUCUACUGGGUGGAGGAGCAUGUGUCCUCUGAACAGGGGAU
rnacentral:lncRNA from 1 species